ensembl:lncRNA
UGAUCAUAGCAUUUAUACUAGAUAUGCAAAUAUAGUUAUUUUGCCUCUACAAUGAUCCAUUAAAUCUUUUUGAUUUCUCUAAAAUAAAAGAAUAAACAAAUGAAAAAAUGUGGAUCACAUUCAUUUUAUCUAUAUCUACAUUAUUCACAGGAGUGAGGAAUAGUAUAAUGUUUGAUAUCCAUGCAGAACUCAAACUUCAACUGGGUGUGGGAGGGGAUGAGAAUUACCCAUUAUUGCUGGAUCUAUAAAAAGGUGUUGCUUUCUUAUUCUCAUCUGUUUAGCAGGUGUGAUGACAAAGUAGCUCCAGAAUGGUCAUAAAAAAGGAUUUAACUUUAGUUCAUUAAAAUGACCUGGGGGACUUCUGCCUUUGCUGUGGAAUGUGUGGUGGUAAAACGUUGUCCAGGAAAGAGCUGGAGGAUAACCAAGAGAAAUCUAUUUUAUCAUUGUCAUGCCAAACUUGCCACUCCCUCUGCUUCUAAUGGAUUCGCACUGCCAUCAUGAGAAGAAUAUAAGCAGGUAAGUUUUCUUUCCUGGUUGUCUCAUAUACUUUCAUGGCAAGACGAAGUAGGAUAUGGUUACUAAAUAACUAAUGUAAAAGUAUAUUUGUUGCAUGAGUUUAAAUAGACACUCUCUAUGUGUUGUGUGCGUGCGUGUGUGUGUGUGUGUGUAUGUGUGAGAGAGCGAGAGAGAGAGAAAGAGAGGACCUAUCUGCUUCAAGAGACAGAGAGAAAAGAGCCUUCUUUUGAGGAAGGGUGAAUUAGAGUAGUUAAAUAUGAAUUGGGAAAAAAAAUCUAGAUUCAAGUUCAUUUUAGUUUUUAGUUGAAUUUCCUCUAAAACCUAUAACCAGGAUUACAAUACAAAGGGAAACUUGACUGAUUUUUUUUUCAUAUAUAUGCGUGCAUUUCGUGUCUAUUGAGUUUCUACUAUUGUGCAAGUUAGGGCGAUACAUAAGUGAAUAGAGUAGUCUUUGUGUUCGGGGGCAGGCAAACAGAUUAUUUCAUCAGUGUGGAGAUCGUUCUCAGCUUUUUGGCUAAGAUCAAGUGUAGUAUUUCAUCAGUGUGCUGCCAAGAGAGGGGUGCACAGGUACAAAGGAAUCCUCCUCCGUUCUUUUUGUCUAUGUGUUGUAAGCACAACAGAGAUAUCAAAGGUGGACAAGGAGAAGCAAGGUAGCAGAUGCAUAAGGGGCUCUCCAGCUUUCUUGGUCCUGGGGAGCAUAUGUACAUUAUCCUAUCUAUAUAGAAACAUGUGCUGCCUUUUAUGUUUCAUGCCUGAAAAGUCCUUUGUAUACAUAUUCAUUUACUUAAUUGAAAGGGACCAGUAGAAAGGCAAAGUAGGCACUUCCAUUUGGGCAAUAACAAAAGGAACAUGAAAAAUGGAUCCCUAGAAUCUUUUCCUGGUGUUCACAGUAUUAUUUAAAAGACCUAAUGUGAUGUUGUGUAUGAUUUAUGCUGUGUAGGUGUUUUCUACUGUGUUUGAAGCAGAUAGGUAUUAAGAGUGCAGUAUAUUAUGUAGUUUCAAAUAUAAAAAGUACUCUGAUGAUGUGAAGAGAUAAGGUGUUAUACUGCUGAUCAGAUAGUCCAGGAGAACUGUUUUCAGUGUGAAAAGCUUAUAUUUGGACAUUUUUAUCCUAAUAAAACAUUCAGGAGUCCCAUUUUCUUUUCUUCCCACUUAUAGCUUCAGUGUUUUGUCUAAUUCAUUUUUUUCACACACUGUGUGUGUAUGUGUGUUUAAGGCAUUUGUGUAGAUUUUUAUGAUGUCACCACCAAUUUUAAAGAGCAAUAGCUGGACAGGAUCUUAGAUCCCAUUUAUAGCUAUGAUAUCAUUUCACUUCUAAUUUUGAGUAAUUACAGUAAUUCUUGCUUCUUUCUCUUGGCUUUCCUUUUUUGAAAUAUAGUGUUAGAAAUGUAUUUGUGUGCAUGGAGUACAUUGUUACUUAUUUGAUAUUAAUGGAAGAUUGAGAGUUUGGAGGGCUUUUAGAAACAGCAGACAGAGUUGGUUCAGAGUUUGGUCCAGUUUUUCAUUUUCAGUUGAAAUUUGUGGUAAUAUCAUUUCAAAACAAUCUUAACGGGUACCAUGUGUACUUAUAAGGUUCCUGAGUAAAUUUUUUGACAAUGGAAUCUUUUUGAGCAUCACCAUUUUCCUUUUAUAGAUCUCGGUUUUAGUAGUGUUCUGGAUAGCAAAGUGAGCAGUAUCCUACCAAAGGUAAUUUUAUACCUGCUAUCCUCCUGAGUGCCCAAGUAUAGCUUUCCUGAACUGAUUUUUCAAGAUGUUGAACUAAAAAUCUGUAUACAACAUAUGCCCAGAUGGGAAGAGGUGUCGUCUGGCAGACUUUGGUCCCUGUUUCCUGCCAUGACAAAACUAAGGUUUGUUUGUGUUCAGAGUCCUUUGUUGGAGAUGCAGCUCUGAAGCCUUACUAUUUCUUCAGGUGGAAGAACAGAUGGGGAAAGCUGGGAACUCAGUACCUGUGUUAAUGGUCCAGGAAAAAUAUUUUGGCUCCUUGAUUUUUUAAGGGCUCUACUUCGUGAU